UGGCUCAGUUGGUAAAGAAUCUGCCUGCAAUGCAGGAGACCCAGGUUCAAUCCCUGG
rfam:Ovis aries breed Texel chromosome 8, whole genome shotgun sequence.